UUUUCAUAAUGAAUAGAGUAUCCUUCAUUGAAGCCUUGUAGUCUCAGUCAACUAGAACUUUCAGUUGGCAACACUGUCCCUGUGCUUGGAUGUCAUUGUAGACAAUAGACAACCAGCAGCUUUGCCAUGUCAAAGUUCACAGAUCAAACGACGGUGGUUCAAAUCUGGGAUUAAAAUAUGACCGGCCUGCCCCUGAAAAGGUGACAGACUACGCGUUCCGUAGGUGAACCUGCGGAAGGAUCAUUACUGAGAACUUGCCCUUAGGGGUAGAUCUCCCACCCUAUGUUUACAUACUUUGUUGCCUUGGCAGGCCUGCCUUUUGGCUGCUGGCUUUGGCUAGUUAGUGUCUGCCAGAGAACCAACACUAUGAUUAAUUUAUUGUCAGAGUACUAUUUAAUAGUUAAAACUUUCAACAACGGAUCUCUUGGUUCUG
rnacentral:misc_RNA from 1 species